rnacentral:rRNA from 1 species
CCUACGGGGUGCUGCAGUGGGGGAUAUUGCACAAUGGGGGGAACCCUGAUGCAGCGACGCCGCGUGGGUGAAGGAGCGUUUCGGCGCGUAAAGCCCUAUCGGCAGGGAAGAAGAUGACGGUACCUGGCCAAGAAGCCCCGGCUAACUACGUGCCAGCAGCCGCGGUAAUACGUAUGGGGCGAGCGUUUGCCGGAUUUACUGGGUGUAAAGGGGGCGCAGACGGCAAUGCAAGCCAGGAGUGAAAGCCCGGGGCCCAACCCCGGGACUGCUCUUGGAACUGCAUGGCUGGAGUACAGGAGGGGCAGGCGGAAUUCCUAGUGUAGCGGUGAAAUGCGUAGAUAGUAGGAGGAACACCGGUGGCGAAGGCGGCCUGCUGGACUGUGACUGACGUUGAGGCCCGAAGGCGUGGGGAGCAAACAGGAUUAGAUACCCUUGUAGUC